rnacentral:rRNA from 1 species
AUUGAACGCUGGCGGCAGGCCUAACACAUGCAAGUCGAACGAGUGGCGGACGGGUGAGUAAUGUCUGGGAAACUGCCUGAUGGAGGGGGAUAACUACUGGAAACGGUAGCUAAUACCGCAUACCAUCGGAUGUGCCCAGAUGGGAUUAGCUAGUAGGUGGGGUAAAGGCUCACCUAGGCGACGUUCCCUAGCUGGUCUGAGAGGAUGACCGGCCACACUGGAACAUGGACACGGUCCAGACGCCAACGGGAAGCAGCAGUGGGGAAUAUUGCACAAUCGGCGGAAGCCUGAUGCAGCCAUGCCGCGUGUAUGAAGAAGGCCUUCGGAUUGUAAAGAACUUUCAGAGAGGAGGCGUUACCCGCAGAAGAAGCACCGGCUAACACCGUGCCAGCAGCCGCGGUAAUUC